UAAAUUUCUUGCCUUUCACAAU
rnacentral:miRNA from 12 species